GCGAGCGUGGCGGAAUGGCAGACGCGCUGGAUUUAGGAUCCAGUGUCUUCGGACGUGGGGGUUCAAGUCCCCCCGCUCGCACCA
rnacentral:tRNA from 1 species